rnacentral:rRNA from 1 species
AUGGCUCAGGAUGAACGCUAGCUACAGGCUUAACACAUGCAAGUCGAGGGGCAGCAUGAAGUUUGCUUGCAAACUUGAUGGCGACCGGCGCACGGGUGAGUAACGCGUAUCCAACCUUCCCCUUAGUAGGGCAUAGCCCGGCGAAAGUCGGAUUAAUACCCUAUGUUUUCCAAUGAGGACAUCUGAGCUGGAACAAAGAUUGAUCGCUAAGGGAUGGGGAUGCGUCUGAUUAGGUAGUAGGCGGGGUAACGGCCCACCUAGCCUACGAUCAGUAGGGGUUCUGAGAGGAAGGUCCCCCACAUUGGAACUGAGACACGGUCCAAACUCCUACGGGAGGCAGCAGUGAGGAAUAUUGGUCAAUGGGCGCGGGCCUGAACCAGCCAAGUAGCGUGCAGGAUGACGGCCCUAUGGGUUGUAAACUGCUUUUAUGCGGGGAUAAAGUGAGGGACGUGUCCCUUUUUGUAGGUACCGCAUGAAUAAGGACCGGCUAAUUCCGUGCCAGCCGCCGC